AGUAAUGUCUGGGAAACUGCCUGAUGGAGGGGGGUAACUACUGGAAACGGUAGCUAAUACCGCAUAAUGUCGCAAGACCAAAGUGGGGGACCUUCGGGCCUCAUGCCAUCGGAUGUGCCCAGAUGGGAUUAGCUAGUAGGUGGGGUAACGGCUCACCUAGGCGACGAUCCCUGGCUGGUCUGAGAGGAUGACCAGCCACACUGGAACUGAGACACGGUCCAG
rnacentral:rRNA from 1 species